UAACCUAACCCUUCGAAAGUUCAGUCUCCUGAUCUCCUCUCCUCUCUGUUCUCUCUGCUCUCUCAUCUCUCCUCUCCGAGUCUCCUCUCAACUCUUAAGCUCUCAAGCGGUCAAGCCUCAGCCUUUGACCAGUCGCUACUACCAUAGCUCUGCCUCUCGCCUCUCCCCUCCUCUCAAGCUCUCCUCUCUCAUGUCUCCUCUCCUCUCAGCUCUCAACUGUCAAUCUCACAAUCGCAGUCCAGAGACUCCAGACUCACAGGUCGCAGACUCUCAGCCGCAAUCCAUAGCCUAUCCAGCCUCUCAAAGUCUAGCCUCUCACCGUCUCACACACUCACAAACAAGGACAGAUUAGGUUUGCUUUCGUCUUCUUUUCAUUAUGUUCUAGGUUUGGGUUUUUUAGUUUUUUAGUUUUAGUUUUUAUAGUUUUCUGCGAUUUCAAAUUAGCAAAUGUUUAUUUUUCAUUAACAUAGCUUGUUUAUUAUUACUUUUCAUUAACAGGGGAAUUAUCAAAUGUUUUUUUUUUUCAAGGCUUUUGGAAAUAUAUUAACAGAGGAAUUAUAUUUAGCUGACACUUGUUUAUUCCACUUCUUUUGUUUUUUUAACAAAAUCUUGUGUCAAAACUCAUAUAUGGUUUAGGCAUUUAGCUCUUCUGCAAGUGCAAGCUAAAUAGUUGUAUCAUGAUGAAUUAUUUUGACACAUGUGCACCAGCCACACUUAAAGUUGAAUGGCAGGUUGACAGUACUUGAAUUAAUUCAUUUUGUUUCUUAAAAUAUAUCAUUAGAAUACAAGAAAAUAAUUGUAUUAUGAUGAAUUAUUUAUGAAAUGUGUUUUUUUUUUUCCUUUUAUGAUUUGUUGAGGUAUGCAGCAAUUAGCAAAGUUGAAAACUGUUGAGUGUUGACACCAUCAAGCUUUAUAUACAAAACCCAUUUAAAGCCACUUCCCAAUCUGAAUGUCUACAAAAAGAAUAAAUUAAUGAAUACUGAUAAAUUAAAAAAAGAAUGAAUAAAUGAAUGAAAGAAGAAUUUUUUCUACAAAUACUUAUGGUGUUGACUCCAAACUUAAUAAGGUGCCAACUCCUAGAGAAACCUAGCGGUUUCGACUCCAUUAGAAACCUAGUGCAUCCUCUAAUAUUGCCCUACUCUUUUCUUUUCUUAAUCUUAAGUCUUCACUCCCUUUCUUAAAUAUUAAACAACAUAGUCCAAACCUGUUCAACUUAUUAAUUUAAACAAAAUUGAUCACAAGGUAUCUUGUUGUGUAGGAACACCAUCAUCCCCUAUCCAUGAUCACAAUGUUUCAUCAACAAAUGUUCCUUCAACCUCAAUAGGACCCUCACCAUCUCAUUCUAUGUCUGGUCCUUCCCCUAUAAUCAUGGUUGACUUUGCUGAUGACUCAUCUCCAAAUGAGACAAGUCAAACAACAAAUAAUGCAAGCAAUCCCUUUGACACUCCUUCUACCACAGAUGGUACUUAGAUUGAAUCUCAGAACCCUAUUGAAGAAGACGAUCCAAUACAAAAAUCAAAAAGACAAAAAACGUUAGAUGUAUGGAAGGAACUCAAAGAGGUUGAAGUUGUUGAUGGAACAAAGAAGGCGUAGUGUGUCCACUGUAAGAGUAAAUUAUCUAUACAAUCUACUGGGGCAACAAGUCACAUGGCCCGACAUUUAAAAACAUGUAUAUCAAGAAAAGAGGUUCAAAAAGUUGAAAAGCAACGGAAGCAACAAAUGACCUUGAAUUUCCAACCAAUGGAUUCCAAUGUUGAUGUAGACAUUGUAGGCCCUCCUCUUUUGGAUACUUCUAUUGCUGCAAAGUAUGACCAUUCCAAAAUGAGGGAAGCAGUUGCUCAUUGGGUGCUUAUGCAUGAGCAUCCAUUUACUGUAGUGGAAGAGAACGAUUUUAAUUUCAUGAUGAAGAUGUUUAAUCCUACUUUUGAGAAGACCUCUCGUAAGACAAUAAAGAAUGAUUAUGUAGCUGUGUAUGAUGAUCAAAAGAAGAAAUUGAAAAAUCUUUUAAAGGGUAUUUCAAAAAUUAGCAUCACCACUGACCUUUGGAAGUCAUAAAACCAAAGGAGAGUAUAUGGUGAUAACUGGUCACUUUGUAGAUGCUAAUUGGAGGUUACAGAAGCGUGUUCUCAAUUUUGUCCAUGUUUCUCCACCUUGUCAUGGGGUUGAUAUUGCAGAUGACAUUUAUAAAUGUUUAAAAGAGUGGGGACUCAAGAAUAAGGUGUUUAUAGUUUUUGUGGAUAAUGCAUCAUAUAAUGAUUCUUGUUUGAGGUUUUUGAGAGAGAUCUUUUCUAGGAAUAGGAGGUUGCUUUGUGUUGGAAAAUUGUUUUAUGUUCGAUGUUGUGCACGUAUUCUGAAUUUGUUGGUUUAAGAUGGUCUUUGUGAAAUUGGUCACAUCAUAGAAAAUGUUCGUGAAAGUGUCAAAUACAUUAACCAAUCUGAGGCUAGGAAACAAACAUUUUCUGAAAUUGUACAACAAUUAUGACUUGGUACAAAGAAGUUCGUUACUGAUUGUCCUAUCCGUUAGAAUUCAACAUUUGAGAUGCUGUCAUGUGCUUUGAAAUUCAAAGAUGUGUUUCCAAGAUUUCAAGAAAGGGAACCAAAUUAUGACUAUUUGCCAACUCUUGAAGAAUGGUAAAAGGUGGAAAAAGUAUGCGAGGUACUUGAAGUUUUCAAUGUAGUCACGAACAUUAUUUUGGUAGUGAGUAUCCUAUUUCUAAUUUGUACCUCAGUGAGAUAUAUAGGGUGAAAGAAAUUUUAAACUUGAAGGCAAUGGAUAAAAAUGAUUUCAUUAGAAGGAUGGUUGGAAAGAUGAAGGAGAAGUUUGAUAAGUAUUGGGGUGAAACUAUUCAGAAACUGGUUGAGAUGUGUUUUCCAGAAAUCUAUUCAGAAACUGAAACUAGAAAUAACAUUGAGCAAGUUCGAGUUGCUUUGUACCAACUUUAUAUGAGUAUGUAGCUGCUUAUAAUGCUAGUAGUGAGCAAUCAUCCACUCAAGGGAAUGGUAGCAAUAGAUCUUCAAAUUCUAGUUCCAAUUCUCAGUUAUCAACAAGCUUAGGAUGGUCAAAGUUGAUGAAUUAUGUGAAGAGAGUUGAGACCAUUACAUCACCAAAAUUAGAGUUGGAUAUGUAUCUUGAGGAAGGUGUAUAUAUUUGUGAGGAUGAAAGGUCACAUUAUGAGUUUAAUGCUUUGGAAUGGUGGAAGGCUAAUAAUUUGAAUAAUUGGGUGUUGUCGAAGAUGGCGGCUGAGAUUCUUGCCAUUUUAAUAUCAACAGUAGCUUCAGAAUCUACAUUUAGUGUUGGUGGUAGGGUAAUUGAUCCCUAUCGUGCAUCCUUAGCUCUAGAAACCGUUCAAGCUCUGAUUUGUGGAGGGGAUUGGAUUUCUAUGUUUCAUGGGGUGAAGAAAAAACAAAAGGUGGACAAAAAGCCAAUUGAGAUACUUCUACCCAUUUCUUAAUGAUAUUGGGACCCCUCUAGAAGAGAGGGAGAGAGAGAGAAAGAGGGUGUUGCCUAUGGAGGGGACCCUUCAAAUUUGCGUGAACCACCAUUUCAACAAGAUGACAAAGAUUGUGAACCAGUUAUCUACAUACCAAGAAGAGCUAAAAGAAAUGAAGGGCCUGUCCAGAGAAGAAUACAUUGGAUAAUCGAGAAGGAAAAGUAGUGGGUUUUCCAGGGGAGUUUCAAAAUACCGUGGGUUUGCAAGGUAUUUAUGGAAUUAAAGGAAUAACAACUCUCUCUCUCUCUCUAGAUCUAUAUUUAUCUAUCUAUCUACGUAUCUACAUUUCUUUUCUAUCCCACCAACUCCAACUAUUUAGAAAUCUCCUCUAAUGUGGAAAGUUCCUACUGUAAAGUUCUAACUUCUCAUCAAAUUAACAGUGUACUUCACAAGGACUAUGGUACCUACUAUACAUUCAAAACAUAGUACAUUUGGCAAGGAACAUUUACUAACAGCUUCACAUGUUAGGUUUUGUUCUUUUUUAUGUUUGUCAAUUAAAUUGAUUUGGAACAGGAGAAUUAUUCAACCAAACAGCAAGGCCAAAGUACCCCCCCAACCAUGUAGGAUUCUGUACUACUUCUUUAUGGGAUUCUGUACUCUUGGCAACUGAUGUUCACUUUGCAGACAUCACCAUAAUGGAAGAUAGGAAGCUCAAAUUGUCCCAGUUGUAACAAAUACCUUUACCUUGGAACAUUUGCUAAAGGAUUUUGAGUUUAUCAAAGUUUUCCACCUAGAACCUAUGCCAUUUGACAUGGAGCGUGAUCUUCUCACCGUAACAUACAAGAAGAAGAGGCCUCAAUUACUCAAGUACUACCAGGUUAGUUUCUUGCCCCUUUCUUGGAAUUCCAAAACGUUCCCCUAAUUCUAAAUUGAUGGGAGAUCUGCCUAGAGUUUUAAUUUCCAUCAUGGCCGAAAAUUCACAAUAGUUCGGCGCAAGGACAGAUGGCACCAUUAGACGUGUUAAUGAGGUAAGUCAUGCUAAUUUAGAAAAUUAGAUUUCAGAUUUAACUGCUUUGGUUAAGCAACUGGCUGUAGGACAAUUGCAAACAGCUAAAGUGUGGCAUCUAUUCGAUCCCUGGUCAUCCUAUGGACAUGUGUCCAUCACUACAGUAGGAUUGAUGCAACAAGUGCCGUAGGAGGAUUCCCAGGUCAGCCUCAACACAAUUAUGACCCCUACUCCAAUUAUUACAAUCCGGGGUGGAGGGAUCAUCCAAAUCUAAGUUACGAGAACCAAGGAGGACGGUAGAAUUAUCAGCCCCAAUUUUCAGCACCUAUCACAGUGCAAGGCCAACCCUCAAAUUCAGGUAUGUCAUUAGAUGAAAUAGUUAAGGCUCUAGCUACUAACACUCAGCAAUUUCAGCAGGAAACAAGAGCUAGUAUUUAGAAUUUGGGGAACCAAAUCAGUCAACUUGCCACUUCUAUUAGUAAGAUGGAGGCGUAGAUCUCUUGGAAACUACCAUCACAAACGGUAGUCAACCCAAAGGAGAAUGCAAGUGCAGUAGUGUUGAGAAACGAAAAGGAGUUGCAGCCCCAAUCGAGCUCACCAUCGAAUGCAGCUAAGGGAGACAAGGAAGAUGAGAGACACGGGUCAAACGAAUGCCCCAUUGAGGUAAUAUCCAACCCCCCUCUCCCUAAGGUUACUAAUGCUAUUAUACCACCUUUUCCUAGUAGGUUGGAGAAGUCCAAGAAAGAGGAAUAUGAGCAAGAGGUGCUAGAAACUUUCAAGAAGGUAAGAGUUGGAGAGAACGUUUCAGCCGUGAUCAAGAGGACCUUACCAGAAAAACAUGCUGAUCCAGGAAGUUUUUGAAGAAGAUAUGAAUGAGGAGCUCGAACUGAGUGCACAAUUGGAUACGAAGGCCCCUAUUCCAGAUUUGAACCCACCCAUGAUGGAUGAAAGGGGAGAACAUCGAAAACUGCAUCUACGAGAAUUAGAGGAUCUGAUUCAGGAUUUUUAAAAAUAGGGAAGUUUGUUUUUCUUUUUUCUUUUUUGUUUUUACAUUUAUAGUUUAGUUUUUCUAUCAUUUCUUUGCAUUUAACCUCACAUU